UACGGAGGGUGCAAGCGUUAAUCGGAAUAACUGGGCGUAAAGCGCACGCAGGCGGUCAGAUAAGUCAGAUGUGAAAUCCCCGGGCUCAACCUGGGAACUGCAUUUGAAACUGUCUGACUAGAGUCUUGUAGAGGGGGGUAGAAUUCCAGGUGUAGCGGUGAAAUGCGUAGAGAUCUGGAGGAAUACCGGUGGCGAAGGCGGCCCCCUGGACAAAGACUGACGCUCAGGUGCGAAAGCGUGGGGAGCAAAC
rnacentral:rRNA from 1 species